AGCAGCCGCGGUAAUUCCAGCUCCAAUAGCGUAUAUUAAAGUUGUUGCAGUUAAAAAGCUCGUAGUUGAACUUCAGGCCUGGCUGGGCGGUCCGCCUUCCGGGUGAGUACUGCCUGUGGUCGGGUCCUACCUUCUGGCGAAGCGUCAUGGCCUUAACCGGCCGUGGCGGGGAACCAGGACUUUUACUGUGAAAAAAAUUAGAGUGUUAAAAGCAGGCACGCGCUUGAAUACAUUAGCAUGGAAUAAUGGAAUAGGACAGUGGUUCUAUUUGUUGGUUUCUAGGACCGUUGUAAUGAUUAAUAGGGAUAGUUGGGGGCAUUAGUAUUCAAUUGUCAGAGGUGAAAUUCUUGGAUUUAUUGAAGACUAACUACUGCGAAAGCAUUUGCCAAGGAUGUUUUCAUUAAUCAAGAACGAAAGUUAGGGGAUCGAAGACGAUCAGAUACCGUCGUAGUCUUAACCAUAAACUAUGCCGACUAGGAAUCGGGCGAUGUUGACAAAAUGACGCGCUCGGCACCUCAUG
rnacentral:rRNA from 1 species